rnacentral:rRNA from 1 species
GAUGAACGCUGGCGGCGUGCCUAAUACAUGCAAGUCGAGCGAACGGACGAGAAGCUUGCUUCUCUGAUGUUAGCGGCGGACGGGUGAGUAACACGUGGAUAACCUACCUAUAAGACUGGGAUAACUUCGGGAAACCGGAGCUAAUACCGGAUAAUAUUUUGAACCGCAUGGUUCAAAAGUAAAAGACGGUCUUGCUGUCACUUAUAGAUGGAUCCGCGCUGCAUUAGCUAGUUGGUAAGGUAACGGCUUACCAAGGCAACGAUGCAUAGCCGACCUGAGAGGGUGAUCGGCCACACUGGAACUGAGACACGGUCCAGACUCCUACGGGAGGCAGCAGUAGGGAAUCUUCCGCAAUGGGCGAAAGCCUGACGGAGCAACGCCGCGUGAGUGAUGAAGGUCUUCGGAUCGUAAAACUCUGUUAUUAGGGAAGAACAUAUGUGUAAGUAACUGUGCACAUCUUGACGGUACCUAAUCAGAAAGCCACGGCUAACUACGUGCCAGCAGCCGCGGUAAUACGUAGGUGGCAAGCGUUAUCCGGAAUUAUUGGGCGUAAAGCGCGCGUAGGCGGUUUUUUAAGUCUGAUGUGAAAGCCCACGGCUCAACCGUGGAGGGUCAUUGGAAACUGGAAAACUUGAGUGCAGAAGAGGAAAGUGGAAUUCCCAUGUGUAGCGGUGAGAUGCGCAGAGAUAUGGAGGAACACCAGUGGCGAAGGCGACUUUCUGGUCUGUAACUGACGCUGAUGUGCGAAAGCGUGGGGAUCAAACAGGAUUAGAUACCCUGGUAGUCCACGCCGUAAACGAUGAGUGCUAAGUGUUAGGGGGGUUUCCGCCCCUUAGUGCUGCAGCUAACGCAUUAAGCACUCCGCCUGGGGAGUACGACCGCAAGGUUGAAACUCAAAGGAAUUGACGGGGACCCGCACAAGCGGUGGAGCAUGUGGUUUAAUUCGAAGCAACGCGAAGAACCUUACCAAAUCUUGACAUCCUUUGACAACUCUAGAGAUAGAGCCUUCCUCUUCGGGGGACAAAGUGACAGGUGGUGCGUGGUUGUCGUCAGCUCGUGUCGUGAGAUGUUGGGUUAAGUCCCGCAACGAGCGCAACCCUUAAGCUUAGUUGCCAUCAUUAAGUUGGGCACUCUAAGUUGACUGCCGGUGACAAACCGGAGGAAGGUGGGGAUGACGUCAAAUCAUCAUGCCCCUUAUGAUUUGGGCUACACACGUGCUACAAUGGACAAUACAAAGGGCAGCGAAACCGCGAGGUCAAGCAAAUCCCAUAAAGUUGUUCUCAGUUCGGAUUGUAGUCUGCAACUCGACUACAUGAAGCUGGAGUCGCUAGUAAUCGUAGAUCAGCAUGCUACGGUGAAUACGUUCCCGGGUCU